CCUACGGGAGGCAGCAGUAGGGAAUCUUCCGCAAUGGACGAAAGUCUGACGGAGCAACGCCGCGUGAGCGAUGAAGGCCUUCGGGUCGUAAAGCUCUGUUGUCAGGGAAGAACAAGUACCGGAGUAACUGCCGGUACCUUGACGGUACCUGACCAGAAAGCCACGGCUAACUACGUGCCAGCAGCCGCGGUAAUACGUAGGUGGCAAGCGUUGUCCGGAAUUAUUGGGCGUAAAGCGCGCGCAGGCGGUUCCUUAAGUCUGAUGUGAAAGCCCCCGGCUCAACCGGGGAGGGUCAUUGGAAACUGGGAACUUGAGUGCAGAAGAGGAGAGCGGAAUUCCACGUGUAGCGGUGAAAUGCGUAGAGAUGUGGAGGAACACCAGUGGCGAAGGCGGCUCUCUGGUCUGUAACUGACGCUGAGGCGCGAAAGCGUGGGGAGCGAACAGGAUUAGAUACCCUGGUAGUCCACGCCGUAAACGAUGAGUGCUAAGUGUUAGAGGGUUUCCGCCCUUUAGUGCUGCAGCAAACGCAUUAAGCACUCCGCCUGGGGAGUACGGCCGCAAGGCUGAAACUCAAAGGAAUUGACGGGGGCCCGCACAAGCGGUGGAGCAUGUGGUUUAAUUCGAAGCAACGCGAAGAACCUUAC
rnacentral:rRNA from 1 species